GAAUAAGGGCCGCGCUGGCGCCUCUGCAAAACAGUCUUAGGAAGGAACUUGUGUUGGUGGAACAUCUGCACCCCGCUAAAGAAAACACUGCAUACUAAAUGAAGUUAACUGUUCACACAA